rnacentral:sRNA from 1 species
GAUACAAGGGUCACAAGGGAUUAUCAAUGCAUGCUUGCAUGCAACUUGAUAUAUCCCUUAGUGACCCGCACUACACCGAGAAAGUAGCAAUUUGCUGCGGAAACGCAGUAAAUUAGCGGAUUUCGAGGUGGAGUCAGAUUACGAGAAUGCGUAGCAUGGAGUAAUCUGU